GAUGAACGCUAGCGGCAGGCCUAACACAUGCAAGUCGAGGGGCAGCACAGAAACAGCAAUGUUUUGGUGGCGACCGGCGGACGGGUGCGUAACGCGUAUGCAACCUACCUUUAACAGGGGGAUAACGGAGAGAAAUUUCCACUAAUACCCCAUAACAUCGAUCAAGGCAUCUUGAUUGGUUGAAAACUCCGGUGGUUAAAGAUGGGCAUGCGUUGUAUUAGGUAGUUGGUGAGGUAAUGGCUCACCAAGCCUACGAUACAUAGGGGGACUGAGAGGUUAGCCCCCCACACUGGUACUGAGACACGGACCAGACUCCUACGGGAGGCAGCAGUGAGGAAUAUUGGUCAAUGGGGGCAACCCUGAACCAGCCAUGCCGCGUGCAGGAAGACGGCUCUAUGAGUUGUAAACUGCUUUUAAACAGGGAUAAAGCACAGUAUGUAUACUGUGUUGAAGGUACUGUAAGAAUAAGGAUCGGCUAACUCCGUGCCAGCCGCCGCGGUAA
rnacentral:rRNA from 1 species